rnacentral:rRNA from 7 species
ACGGGUGAGUAAUGCCUAGGAAUCUGCCUGAUAGUGGGGGAUAACGUCCGGAAACGGACGCUAAUACCGCAUACGUCCUACGGGAGAAAGUGGGGGCUCUUCGGACCUCACGCUAUCAGAUGAGCCUAGGUCGGAUUAGCUAGUUGGUGGGGUAAAGGCUCACCAAGGCGACGAUCCGUAACUGGUCUGAGAGGAUGAUCAGUCACACUGGAACUGAGACACGGUCCAGACUCCUACGGGAGGCAGCAGUGGGGAAUAUUGGACAAUGGGCGAAAGCCUGAUCCAGCCAUGCCGCGUGUGUGAAGAAGGUCUUCGGAUUGUAAAGCACUUUAAGUUGGGAGGAAGGGUCGUUACCUAAUACGUGACGAUUUUGACGUUACCGACAGAAUAAGCACCGGCUAACUCUGUGCCAGCAGCCGCGGUAAUACAGAGGGUGCAAGCGUUAAUCGGAAUUACUGGGCGUAAAGCGCGCGUAGGUGGUUUGUUAAGUUGGAUGUGAAAUCCCCGGGCUCAACCUGGGAACUGCAUCCAAAACUGGCAAGCUAGAGUAGGGCAGAGGGUGGUGGAAUUUCCUGUGUAGCGGUG